UACGAAGGGUCCAAGCGUUAUCCGGAUUUAUUGGGUUUAAAGGGUGCGUAGGCGGCUUAUUAAGUCAGUGGUGAAAGACUUCAGCUUAACUGAAGAACUGCCAUUGAUACUGAUGAGCUUGAGUACAGUUGAGGUGGGCGGAAUGUGUCAUGUAGCGGUGAAAUGCUUAGAUAUGACACAGAACACCGAUUGCGAAGGCAGCUCGCUAAACUGUAACUGACGCUGAUGCACAAAAGCGUGGGGAGCAAACAGG
rnacentral:rRNA from 1 species